rnacentral:rRNA from 1 species
UUUAUUAGAUAUAAAGCCAAUGCAUGCUUUUACAGUAUGGAAAUUGGUGAUUUAUAAUAACUUGGCAAAUCGCAAAGUGAAAACAGGCGAUAAAUCAUUCAAGUUUCUGACCUAUCAGCUUUCGACGGUAUGGUAUUGGCUUACCGUGGCAGUGACGGUUAACGGGGGAUUAGGGUUCGAUUCCGGAGAGGGAGCCUGAGAAACGGCUACCACAUCUAAGGAAGGCAGCAGGCGCGCAAAUUACCCAAUUCUAACAGUUUGAGAGAGGUAGUAACAAGAAAUAACAAUACAAGGCAAUUAAAAUGCUUUGUAAUUGGAAUGAUAGAAAUUUAAACCCUUUUUAAAGUAUCAAUUGGAGGGCAAGUCUGGUGCCAGCAGCCGCGGUAAUUCCAGCUCCAAUAGCGUAUAUUAAAAUUGUUGCAGUUAAAAAGCUCGUAGUUGAAGUUCUGCUAAAAGUAACCGGUCUGCUUUUAAUAAAAGUGGUAUCUUGGUGUGUAUUUAGCAAUGAUGUCCUUUGAAGUGUUUUUUACUUUAUUGUAAUAAAGCAUAUUCAGGACUUUUACUUUGAGAAAAUUAGAGUGUUUCUAGCAGGCCGACGCUUUGAAUACUGCACUG